GACGAACGCUGGCGGCGUGCUUAACACAUGCAAGUCGAACGGAAAGGCCCUGCUUUUGUGGGGUGCUCGAGUGGCGAACGGGUGAGUAACACGUGAGUAACCUGCCCUUGACUUUGGGAUAACUUCAGGAAACUGGGGCUAAUACCGGAUAGGAGCUCCUGCUGCAUGGUGGGGGUUGGAAAGUUUCGGCGGUUGGGGAUGGACUCGCGGCUUAUCAGCUUGUUGGUGGGGUAGUGGCUUACCAAGGCUUUAACGGGUAGCCGGCCUGAGAGGGUGACCGGCCACAUGGGGACUGAGAGACGGACCAGACUCCUACGGGAGGCAGCAGUGGGGAAUAUUGCACAAUGGGCGGAAGCCUGAUGCAGCAACGCCGCGUGCGGGAUGACGGCCUUCGGGUUGUAAACCGCUUUCGCCUGUGACGAAGCGUGAGUGACGGUAAUGGGUAAAGAAGCACCGGCUAACUACGUG
rnacentral:rRNA from 1 species